rnacentral:rRNA from 1 species
CACGUGGGUAACCUGCCUGUAAGACAUGGGAUAACUCCGGGAAACCGGAGCUAAUACCGGAUAGUUCCUUGAACCGCAUGGUUCAAGGAUGAAAGACGGUUUCGGCUGUCACUUACAGAUGGACCCGCGGCGCAUUAGCUAGUUGGUGGGGUAAUGGCUCACCAAGGCGACGAUGCGUAGCCGACCUGAGAGGGUGAUCGGCCACACUGGGACUGAGACACGGCCCAGACUCCUACGGGAGGCAGCAGUAGGGAAUCUUCCGCAAUGGACGAAAGUCUGACGGAGCAACGCCGCGUGAGUGAUGAAGGUUUUCGGAUCGUAAAGCUCUGUUGUUAGGGAAGAACAAGUGCGAGAGUAACUGCUCGCACCUUGACGGUACCUAACCAGAAAGCCACGGCUAACUACGUGCCAGCAGCCGCGGUAAUACUUAUGUGGCA